rnacentral:rRNA from 1 species
GGAAUUUUGGGCAAUGGGCGAAAGCCUGACCCAGCAACGCCGCGUGGGGGAUGAAGGCCCUCGGGUCGUAAAUCUCUGUCGGGAGGGAAGAACGGUUGCCCUUCGAACAGGUGGGCAGCCUGACGGUACCUCCAAAGGAAGCAGCGGCUAACUCCUUGCCAGCAGCCGCGGUAAUACGGAGGGUGCGAGCGUUGUUCGGAAUCAUUGGGCGUAAAGCGCGUGUAGGCGGCUUGGCAAGUCGGUUGUGAAAUCCCGGGGCCCAACCCCGGAACUGCAAUCGAAACUGCCUCGCUAGAGUCCCGGAGAGGAAGGCGGAAUUCCCGGUGUAGAGGUGAAAUUCGUAGAUAUCGGGAGGAACACCAGUGGCGAAGGCGGCCUUCUGGACGGUGACUGACGCUGAGACGCGAAAGCGUGGGGAGCAAAC